rnacentral:rRNA from 1 species
UACGAAGGGGGCUAGCGUUGUUCGGAAUUACUGGGCGUAAAGCGAACGUAGGCGGUGUUCCAUGUCAGAGGUGAAAGCCUGGGGCUCAACUCCAGAAUUGCCUUUGAAACGGGGACGCUUGAGUCCGAGAGAGGAUGGCGGAAUUCCUAGUGUAGAGGUGAAAUUCGUAGAUAUUAGGAAGAACACCAGUGGCGGAAGGCGGCCAUCUGGCUCGGUACUGACGCUCAGGUUCGAAAGCGUGGGAGGCAAACAGG